rnacentral:rRNA from 1 species
AUUGAACGCUAGCGGGAUGCCUUACACAUGCAAGUCGAACGGAGUGGCGAACGGGUGAGUAAUGUAUCGGAACGUGCCCAGUAGCGGGGGAUAACUACGCGAAAGCGUAGCUAAUACCGCAUACUAUUGAAGCGGCCGAUAUCGGAUUAGCUAGUUGGUGGGGUAACGGCUCACCAAGGCGACGAUCCGUAGCCGGUUUGAGAGGACGACCAGCCACACUGGGACUGAGACACGGCCCAGACUCCUACGGGAGGCAGCAGUGGGGAAUUUUGGACAAUGGGGGAAACCCUGAUCCAGCAAACCCGCGUGAGCGAUGAAGGCCUUCGGGUUGUAAAGCACUGUUGGCAGGAAAGCGGUACCUACAGAAUAAGCACCGGCUAACUACGUGCCAGCAGCCGCGGUAAUUC